AUCCCAGAAACCCUAUCUCAGUCCGGAUUGGAGUCUGCAACUCGACUCCAUGAAGUCGGAAUCGCUAGUAAUCGCAGAUCAGCAUUGCUGCGGUGAAUACGUUCCCGGGCCUUGUACACACCGCCCGUCACACCAUGGGAGUUUGUUGCACCAGAAGCAGGUAGCUUAACCUUCGGGAGGGCGCUUGCCACGGUGUGGCCGAUGACUGGGGUGAAGUCGUAACAAGGUAGCCGUAUCGGAAGGUGCGGCUGGAUCACCUCCUUU
rnacentral:rRNA from 1 species